GACGAACGCUGGCGGCGUGCUUAACACAUGCAAGUCUAACGAAGUGGCGAACGGGUGAGUAACGCGUAAUCAACCUGCCCUUCAGAGGUGGACAACAGUUGGAAACGACUGCUAAUACCGCAUACUUAAGACGCGGAUUGCGUCUGAUUAGCUAGUUGGAAGGGUAACGGCCCACUAAGGCGAUGAUCAGUAGCCGGUCUGAGAGGAGGAACGGGUACAUUGGGACUGAUGCACGGCCCAGACCCCUACGGGAGGCAGCAGUGGGGAAGCUUCCGCAAGGGACGAAAGUCUGACGGAGCAACGCCGCGUGAGUGAGGACGGCCUGCGGGUUGUAAAGCUCUGUUAAUCGGGACGCGGUACCGGAAUAGAAAGCCACGGCUAACUACGUGCCAGCAGCCGCGGUAAUUC
rnacentral:rRNA from 1 species